GUGGGGAAUAUUGGACAAUGGGCGAAAGCCUGAUCCAGCCAUGCCGCGUGUGUGAAGAAGGUCUUCGGAUUGUAAAGCACUUUAAGUUGGGAGGAAGGGCAGUAAGUUAAUACCUUGCUGUUUUGACGUUACCGACAGAAUAAGCACCGGCUAACUACGUGCCAGCAGCCGCGGUAAUACGUAGGGUGCAAGCGUUAAUCGGAAUUACUGGGCGUAAAGCGCGCGUAGGUGGUUUUGUAAGUUGGAGGUGAAAUCCCCGGGCUCAACCUGGGAACUGCCUCCAAAACUGCAUGACUAGAGUACGGUAGAGGGUAGUGGAAUUUCCUGUGUAGCGGUGAAAUGCGUAGAUAUAGGAAGGAACACCAGUGGCGAAGGCGACUACCUGGACUGAUACUGACACUGAGGUGCGAAAGCGUGGGGAGCAAACAGGAUUAGAUACCCGGGUAGUCC
rnacentral:rRNA from 1 species